rnacentral:lncRNA from 1 species
GCCUAUACUACCACACCCGACCCUUGGGAGUCUUUCAAUGAAGAGGAUCCUGAAUUUAAGGAUGCGAGAAGUGGAGACUCCAGGGCUACCGGUUAUGGAUCUUGAGGCAAGAAUGGCUGUGGAUGGGGAGUGCCUGGGAGGAACACACUGAAACCGCAGGAGGAUCUUGGAGUCAGCACCUGUGCCCAGACGCAUGGAUGACAGAGCAGAAACUGAAGUCACGUGGGGGAGACACAGACACAUGAACAGUCAGUGCCUGUAGUCACCUGGCAGAGACAUGUGAGAACAGCAGCAAGCAUCUCAGGCAGGCUUCCAGAGUGCGUGAGUGAGCAGGGGCUUUGGGAAGUCUCUCUUUGAUGGCUCCAGUCUCCCUUUCUUAGUGAUUAAGAGCAGGGCCACAGCAUAGAACAGAACCCGAACGGGGCAGGGGUGGGGGCAGAUACCAACCCCUGGGCAGUUCAAUCAGUCUCCCUGAGAUCUUGUCUGUUGUGUGUCCUUGAAGAGCCAACUUCAUUGACAAACUGAACUUUAUGGGCCCAAGGACUGAG